rnacentral:rRNA from 1 species
AAUCUAUAGAUAAAUAAAUUGGUCCAUCUCUCCCACUAGCUAACGCCUCUUCUCCUCCUCUCCUCCGACAACAUCUUGAGCGAUUCAUCUCCAUCUCCUGCCUCCUCCUUUUAACUCCCCUCUGCCUUGGUUGUUUCCACAAACUGAGGACAUCUUCAUGUGCGCCUCCACCUCCUCUUACAAUUCCCGACCACCUCCUUCCAUCUCCCUUCUCUGUUCUUCCCAAAUUCAUCCACGAAGUGCUGCUGCUCCAUGGACGCGAGUGCUCGUUCCCGGCAACUUAGAGCACCUCCAUCCAUUUCCUUGCACCAGGAACUUCCUCUCCUCACCAUGGAUCCAUUCAGAGAAGAAAGACCGCUAUUCGUCGACCACACACGAAGAAUUCCGCAUGUCCGCGUACACUGUUCAUCAAGUUCAUCGCACCAUUCCAUCAAACUCGGGAGUGGCGAGGUUGGACAAGGACAGAAACAGGUUACCGAAGAAGGACUCAACAACGAAGACUUGCAUGAAGACGAAGGUGAUGACUACGAUUACUAUGGUGAUCCGUAGAAGUGAGGUCACGUGGACUACAUCGACUGCCUGUGACUGAGAUGGAGUCGCUAUGCAUUUGUACUUUCCACUAUUUUCUGAUUGUAAUAAAUGUCAUGAGACAUUUCAC